CUUGAUGGCAUCAAUAUCCCCGAUGGCAAGUUCUACCUAGGAGAUGUUGGCUAUGCAUGUCGGCCCGGUGUUCUUCCACCCUUAAGGAAAAGGUAUCAUCUGAACGAGUUCGCUGGUAGGAACUAUCCUAGGACUCCAUGGGAACUAUUUAAUCUCGGACACUCCAUCCUUAGAGUUACGAUUGAGAGGGCAUUUGGAGCUCUGAAGAAUAGGUUUAAGAUCCUGAAUCAGAAGCCAUUCCACACUUUCCCCACCCAGGUUAAGCUUGUUCUUACUUGUUGCAUUCUGCAUAACUGAAUUCUACAAUGGGGUUGUGAUGAACUAGUGUCAUGGGAGGAAGAGCAACUUUGUCAUUGCCUCUAGGGCAUAUUUCCUUCAAUGGUGGUAUUUGACAACGAAGCCUGAAAGAACAAAAGGAUGAAGUGCACACAGACAAUAUGGGAUAACCGAGGUCAAACAAGAACAUCAGCAUAA
rnacentral:rRNA from 1 species